UGGGGAAUAUUGCACAAUGGGGGAAACCCUGAUGCAGCGACGCCGCGUGAGCGAAGAAGGUUUUCGAAUCGUAAAGCUCUGUCCUAUGAGAAGAUAAUGACGGUAUCAUAGGAGGAAGCCCCGGCUAAAUACGUGCCAGCAGCCGCGGUAAUACGUAUGGGGCGAGCGUUGUCCGGAAUUAUUUGGCGUAAAGGGUACGUAGGCGGUCUAUUAAGUCAGGUGUGAAAGCGUGAGGCUUAACCUCAUUAAGCACUUGAAACUGAUAGACUUGAGUGAAGGAGAGGAAAGUGGAAUUCCUAGUGUAGCGGUGAAAUGCGUAGAUAUUAGGAGGAAUACCGGUGGCGAAGGCGACUUUCUGGACUUUUACUGACGCUCAGGUACGAAAGCGUGGGGAGCGAACAGG
rnacentral:rRNA from 1 species